CGCGGGAGCUCAGAACCCGCAGGGCCCGGAGCUCUGGCUCGAGGCCAGUGCAGCUGCUUUGGAAGGUUACGACAGCGGGUGGCGAAGGCCAAGUGGGUGGCAGAGGACGAGAAUGAAUGGACCAGCGGGACUCGCGUACCUCGACCGUCGCGAGCGGGUUCUCAAAUUAGGCGAAAGUUUCGAGAAGCAGCCGCGCUGUGCGUUCCACACCGUGCGCUAUGACUUCAAACCUGCUUCUAUUGAUACUUCUUGUGAAGGAAAUCUUGAGGUUGGCAAAGGUGAACAGGUGACGAUAACUCUACCAAAUAUAGAAGGUUCAACUCCACCAGUCACAGUUUUCAAAGGUUCCAAGAGACCUUACUUAAAAGAAUGCAUUUUGAUUAUUAACCAUGAUACUGGGGAGUGUCGCCUAGAAAAACUCAGCAGCAACAUCACUGUGAAAAAAACAAGGGUUGAAGGAAGUAGUAAAGUUCAGUACAGACUAGAACAACAGCAGCAACAAAUGUGGAAUCCACCUCGGACUUCCAAUCUUGAACACCAUUCUCCCUCAGAAGACAAGAUGUCUCCAACAUCUCUAGUGGAUGAUAUUGAAAGAGAACUGAAGGCAGAAGCGAGUUUAAUGGACCAGAUGAGUAGUUGUGAUAGUUCAUCAGAUUCCAAAAGUACUUCGUCUUCAAGCAGUGAGGAUAGUUCUAGUGAUUCAGAAGAUGAUGACCAAUCCUCUCCUUCAGGUCCAGGGACAUACAGCCCAGGACAUUCUAGCAUGUCUGCCAGACCACAGUACAGGACUCCAGAUAUUGAGGCUAACUGCAACAGAUUUCAUGACAACAGUGCCCUUCUGAUGAGUACUUUACUCUAUUUGUGUACAUGACUGUAGGCCCAUUCGCCGAAGCAAGGGCAACCUUCCAGGGUUGCAUCUCUGAAGAUAACAUCGGAGCUUUCCUUCCCAGCAACCUCCAACCAUCAACGGCCAAUAGCUCUUCAUCUCAGAGUGGGGUUUUGUGAGGCCCUUCCGCAUUUAUGUUUGAUGGGCUUGAUCUUAUGCCAGUGUUGUGUAUUCAGCCAAGGCUGUUUUGAUCCACUAUGUAUAUUAUUAGCCAUAUCAAUCUUUAAAUGAUUCAAAUAUAAUUUAUCACCUCUUCUGCUUUAAACUUUUCAAAGUUUGCAAUUUCUUUCACUAUAGAGUAGACCAUAACGUAAUUGAUUAUUUAACAUAUUUAAUUAUAACGUAUAUUGCUUUAUUGUUUAUUUCUUAUGUAAUUGUUUAUGUGUAGUGUGCAUUAUAUAUACAAGUAUGUAUGCAUUUGUGUGCACAUGCAUUUGGAGUUCAGAAGCCAACGUUAGGUGUCUCCCUCUAUUACUUUCUGUCAUAUUUUUUUAGACAGGUUCUAUCAUUUUGCCUGCAAUUCAAUGAUUUGUCUAGACUAACUGGCCAGUGAACUCCAGGGAUCCAGCACUGGGGUUACAGACUACAGACAUAUCCAGGGGAUAUGUCCCUUUCUUCUGGUCUCCUAGGGCUUACACUAUGUGGUACACUGGCAUGUAUGCAGACAGACAUCCCAUGUGCAUAAAAUACAAUUAAAUAGUUUUAAAAGCAGAAUCAAAAAAAUUUUAAAGAAAAGAACUGAAGCACAAACAUAAAAAUUGGGCUUUGUGAGGGUAUUGGUUUUGAGUUUAAAGGGAUGUGGUAGGAAGUAGCUUGGAUACCUUCAAGAAAGGUUAGCUUAAAAGUGCUUGAAAUGGGGGUUGAGUGAUAGCUUCAUCAGUAAAGUGCUUACCUGGCAAGUGUGAAGACCUGUUUUCAACCUCAGCACCUAUGUAAAAAGCUGGGUAUGGCCACUGGGGAGGCACAUGCCUGCCAUCCUACUGCUGGAGAGGUAAAGACAGGCACUCUCAGUCAGCCCAGCUUAAUUGCAGAUUCUGGUGCCUGAAAAACAAAAUCCAAGACUAUGUUCUGGCUUCUGCAUACAUGUACAGACACAUGCAUAUAUACACAUACAGUGCUUGAUAUGCGGCUAGAAAGAUAACUCAGUUAGGAGGGUGCUUGGAAGACUUAGUUGAAUCCAUAGAAUCAAUGUUAAAAAAAAUAGCAAAACCUGAGUAUGGCCGUGCAGAGACAGGCAGAUCUCUGGAGCCAGAUAAACACACUUAGUGAGUUCCAGGCUGGUGAGAGAUCUUGUCUCAAAAAAAAAAAAAAAAAAAAAGGUAGUUGUCCUCUGGCUUCUGCAUGCACAGACAUGUGCACAUGAACACACACAAAGUUGCAGGGAAUUUAAAUGUAUGGUGGGGGCAAGGCAAGAUGGCAAGGAUUAGUAGAUAUGUGGAUGAUCUUCAGUUAGUGACUGGAAGCUAGGAAAAAAGUACAAUUUAUAUGCUGACUGCGGCUACUAUUUCAGAAGCCAGAGUUUGUACAGCCUUGUUAUUCAGUGGCUCCUUUAAGGGACCCACCAUAUCUUCAGGAGAUAGCAAUCUUUAAAUGUGAUUGUGAAACCUGUUUCUGGUAAAUGGGCUGUAGGCUAGGUUUAGAGAACCACAGAAUCCUGUAAGAGUGUUAUAAAGGUAGAGAAAAAGAGACACCUUCCUCUCAAAAUGGGCAAACAAUUUUGAAACAAGAAAAAAAAUGUGUUGCUAAGAAAGAUAAAUGGAAACAUAAUUUCUUUUUUUCUUUUUUUAACUUGAGACAAGGUCUCAUUAUGUAGGUCUGACUGGACUGGAACUCACUUUAUAGACCAGGAAAUGAUUUGCAACUGAGUGAAUCAGAAAGUGACAGUGAUGACUGAAACAAUAUUGAGUUACAAAUAAAACAUUUGUAAGACUGUGGCAAUCCAUUUUGUAUUAAGAUUAAAUAUUCCUGUGGCUAAGGAAAACAUGUAACUUUUGUUAUAAAAUUAAAUUGAUCCAGAAUUUUCAACUUUU